GGCUACACAGAUAUGUGCUACUGGUAAACCUUGAUUCUAAUUGCAAGCCAGUCUCACGCUUGGUGAUUGACAACCAACCACAGCAGAGUUCAGUUACCCUCUCCAGAGCAAAGGAUCUUAACCUAGAGAUGAAAUUCAGGUAGUGGGUGAACUUGGGUGGGGAAGGGAAAAAAUGACAUUUUAGCUUCACCAUUCUCUUACAGUUCAGCGUCUGCUUCAGUUAUGACUAUAGGCAACAGACCACAGUCGUAUUGGCAGAUUUUUACCGUUUGCACCCACUGGUAUUUUUCAUGCCACGUUUCAGUUUGCCAGCUACCUGGAAUAUUAUUUGCAGUCAUCACGACAUUGUUAUUACAGUUAUCUAACAGAUCUGCUGUUAGAUCUAGCUAUUUAAUGCAGUAACAAUAAUGCGCGGCUUCAGUAUUGUACUUCGAUGAUUGUUUUCCAGUAAAACUGAUUCUGAUUCAGUUGUGUUUUAUACAUUUAAUAUUAUUCUCAGUAGGGGUCUAAAUUCCUCACUCCUUGCUCAGAGUCGGGGCCCCAACAAGCCAGAGGUGGCCCAUUUAUACGCCGGGCCUCCUGCAGGAAGAGCGCUCCCCUUCUGGGAGCGACACUCUGGACAGGAGCUGGUCUGGUUUUUCCCCGCACUUCCGCAGAUAAGAUUUUUUUAGCCUGAAAAGCCAGUUCAACCCUGCCGAGGCUAAAAUAGCAUGGACUUUCUCUUUCCCCUCAGCUGCAUUCUUUCCCUUGGCAUUUGGGAAUGCCCCGACUGCCAGGCAGGUAACCCGAGCCUCCAAAUUAAGCAAAACACACAGCUCCCAGUUCAAGCCCUGGCAGACAAGCCUGGGAGCUAGACGCGCUCUCCUCUGGUGACCCCAAGGCCCUAACUCUGCAGCCACCCCGGCCCGGAUGCCAAGGUUCAUCCGCCUCCCCAGCGCAAGUGCCCAGGCCCGCCCGUGGCCCCUUACCUGGGGGACCCCGCAGCACCGGUACUGCGCACCUGUGGGCUCUGCCGCCCCGGCUGCUUCUCCACUGCGCUCCGGAGGACACGUCGGUCCGGCGGCUGCAACUUUGAGACGGGGCGGGCGCCAGCUGCACGGGCGCGGGAGCUGGGAGCGAGCGGGCCCGGCGAGCGCGGACGCCCAGCGCGCCUCCUGCUGGAUCCGGGCAGGGCCGCUGGCCACUCCCUCCACCCUGCACAGCCACCUCCCCAGCGCACACCCCAAGCUUCCUCACCCCGACCCGCACUCCCUGCCCCGCCGGAGCCCCAGGGCCUCGGGCCUCACCUCCCAAUCUGACGGCCCUGCAGGGGACAGCGCCGGGCGCACCGCAGGGAGGGGCCGAGGGCGGGCCCUGAGCCGCUCUGCCCUCCCCGGGAGCCGCAGCCAAAGCCUGGGUGAGGAGGGACCAGCCGCGCCGCGGGGCCCCACAAAACCCUCCCGGGGAACCGGCGGGGCGAGCUUCACGGCAGGGGACGUGGAACCCGCGGGUCCCCGGACACCCGGGCUCCGCCCGGCGCCCACCAUGCGUCCCGAGUGCGCGUCCCGGCCGCCCGCGCGUCUGCAGUGGCUCCUCCUGCUGCUCCUGGCGGCCGCGCCCGCCGACUGCAAGGCAAAAGCAGAUACCAAAAUCCCUUCCAAAAGAUGAUUAAAACCAAGAUCAGUGCUAUAUCUGAAAUCUCAUGACUUCAGGUUCCCACUAAUUGGAACCCAGACCGCAAGUUUCCACAGGUGCGCGCACUCUAAUUGCGGCAGAUAAGGUUGGGAAAGCCCGAUAGGUGGAGCUAUUGAGUUCUGCACAUGUCCGGGGCUGCACCCACUGAACAGGUCAGUGUUUCAGUUCACUGUGAUCCACGUAGGCCUUGCAGAGCCCACGUGACCUGAAUGAGCCGCUUCCUCAGACCUGCAAGAGCAGCCAUGGCAGGCGGCGACGUGGGAGGCAACCUGCGAUCCAAGACAGGCAGCUACUGGAAGAGCCCUUUAAAGUGUGGCAGACUUCACCGUUCUGACAGUUCUGGGCAAGCCACCUAAGUUCCAAGACAAUCCAUUUCCUCCAUCAUAAAACAUGGCACAUGAAAUCUGCCCCUUUAUCUCCAGAAAUAAUGCAAUUGAGCACAUUUUGCACACAGUCAAGCAUUCCACAGAUGCCAAGUAUUACUGAGAAAAGAAUGAGUUUCAAUAUCAGAAAAGCAGUAGUCCAAAUAUGUUUCUUAUACUCAUGUAAUUCUCCUGUUAUUUUGUGAUGUAGGACUUCCUGGGAAGUAUUAAGGAGUUUCAUAUUUUCAAAAAUAUUAUUCAGUGCGUUCUUUGCUGCUGGUAUUUUCUAAUAACUUUAUUUGAAAGCAUCAGCAGAAAUGGCAUCCUUCCUUGCCACUGUCUCCAUUAAAAAAGGAACAGUUUAUUUACCUUACAUAAACCCAUGUAAAUACGGAUGCUGAAACUCAGCAAGCAAGUUCAUCACUUUUAUGAUGUUUUUCACAAAUACCUCAGCUUAAAGGACUCAUGAAUUAUAAAGAUAUUCCUGGGUAACAUUUAAUAUUAAUAAUUUGUUCCUUUCUUGUCUUUAAAGUAUGGGAGUCUUUGACUCGGGUUUAAAAGACAAGCCAUGGGACCUGCUUUGGUAUGCAGCCUCCCUCAAAUUCCAUUUAUUUUUAAUUGACCACAAAAGGAUAAACAGUGUGAAUUCAUUUUCCACACAUUUCCUGAGCAAUUUAGGUGCAGUGCACUGGGCUUAGGGAACUCUUCCAAUACACUUCAAAUGAAGGAUGAGUCUUCAUGAAGUUUCAGAAUGAAGCCACUGGAACUAAUUUUCAGAAUGAACGGGGGUUUUUCGUAUUAAUACAGUUCAUGUGUGAAUGUUUGAGAUCUAUAGAAACAAAACAAAAAUCACUCCAAAUAUAAGACACUAGGAGUAACCAGUGUUAAUAAUUUGGUAUAUUAAAAUAAAUAUUAGAUCAUAUGGCUUAUGGUAUUCUGUAUCCUGAUUUUUCUUUUCUUUUUUGUGCUGGGGCUUGAAUCCAGAGUCCCCCUGCAUGCUAGGCAAGCACUUUGCCUCUAAGCUACAUCCCUAGCAUUAUCUCCUACUUUUUCAAAAUUAUACUGUAUUGUUAAUUUUUCCUCAUUAUUAAAUAUCCCUUAAGAAUAAGCUCAUAAUAUUGUAUUAUGUCUAUAUGCAUAAUUUAACCUAAAAUUUUAUGUUAUUAACAAUUCUGUCCACAAUGAAUUU
rnacentral:lncRNA from 1 species